GUGGAUGUAGCUCAGUUGGUUAGAGCGCCAGUCUGUGGAACUGGAGGCCGGGGGUUCAAAUCCCCUCAUCCACCCCA
rnacentral:tRNA from 2 species